GGAAGGGACGCGUUUACACGAAAUGGCUCAGAGACGCGGUUGGAAUCGGGUGACAAUAGAAGCUCGUGGAAAUUGAGUUGGCACUGAUUAGACAUUGCUGGCGUGCCCUCGUGUCUCUGACGGUUCGUUGGAAUCUACUCUCGCAUACCCAACUCGAUCCCAAUUCCAUCUUAGAGGAUCGUUCAUUAUCAAGCCGGUAUUCGAUAGAUCAGAGAAGGGAGCUGGAGCUUUAACGACGUACGUUCUUCUUUUCUGCUGCCUACGCGUCUCGUUAACGAUCGUCCUUUCGUUGACGACCUCACUGAACCAGCUUCUCUCUCCGUGUGAUCACUGUGCUCUUUGAUGUAUUUAGAGUUCAUCCUUGCUAGCUGACAGUUGCCAUAGCACUUUACUGAUACUCAUAGUAUCUCUCAUACAGCUAACGCCUUUAGGGAUCAUCUACAGGCCAGUGGCCGUUCCAGUUUAUCUUCUCUCGAAAUAAACAUCCUACAGGACUGCUCUUCUCUCUUUGCUUCUGUCGUCCGUUCAUUGGUUUACUUCUCUUCGACGUUGAUCUUCUGGGAAUACCUGCUCGUUGACGUUUCUUCGACAAACUCAGCAAAAGGAGAAAUACAUAUAUUAUACAUGCAGACACACAUACACACACACAUACACAUAUAUGUAUAAUGCAUAUGUAUAAUAUAUAUGUGUAUAUAAAAUAUAUAUAUAUAUGUGUGUGUGUGUGUGUAUAUG